GCCCUCUCUGCCAGCGCCCGGUGACUGCGGACGGAUGAAUAGACGCUGCGGGUCACUGCGCUCUCCCCUGGGUAGAACAGAUGGUUUGAAAAGGAAAGAUUUUUUUUUCACAUAUGGGGAAAAAAAAUUCCCAGCCUUGGAAGGAUAUUUGGGUUAGAGGCCGAAGUGCAUCACAGAUCACGCACGCGUCCACACCUCAGAAAACACUCACUCAUUCCUGAGACGCAACGUCACAGCAACCUCCAAAAACCCAACUUUGCAAAGAUAUGGCAUCGUCAGAAGAAAUGGGGUGCAAUCUAAUGUUGACAGUGUGGAUGAGAGUGGGACACCUGCCAGUUGUUUGCAUCAGCAGACACUCAGAGUCCAUGGAAAAAAUGAGCCUAGAGGUUUUUAAACCACAACACAAGCAAAAGGCACCUGGUCCCGUUCCUCUUAAGACAGAAGAAAGAGGCGUAAAACCAGCUCCAGGUGCCACCCUUAAGAAAUGUUACAGUGCCGGAUGGGAAGAGUAAACCCUGAACAUCUCUUCUUAAUACUUUACAGACUUCAAGUGUAUUUUAUGGUGACAAAGCAUAUUGAAGACAAAUGAAACUCUACAACCCUGAAAA
rnacentral:lncRNA from 1 species